GUACCUCCACCCAGUUGGGGAGGAAAGAAAAUGAAAUCCCAAUCAGUCAAGAUGCUGCUUUCUUAGUACCUCGGAUAAGAAGUGGAGAGGAGGGCGUUAAGACUAAUGGCGAUAAUGACGUUUUUGGACAAGCUGUGGGUUCAUUUAUUCAAGCUCUCCCUGUUCCCAAUUUUUAAGAUGAUAUAUCUCCUGGUAUCCAGACUAAUUUCAGAAGGUAUAAAGAAACGAAGCGUAUUAAUAGCCAGAGAAAAUCAUUUCCCCAAGCGAAGACCUCUACCUUCCUACCUGAUGGCGGGAACAAUAAGCCCACCAAGCCGGCUGUGUUUAUUUCCAUCUUUGAAGGCCAGCCAGACUUAGAGACGUGCCACGACACUGGGCUCGGCAGCGGAGAAUUCACGGGAAGAUUUACCUGGAAUAAAUGAAAGUGGAAAAAUU